rnacentral:lncRNA from 1 species
CUCCUUGAACAAGAUUUCUCCUAAAUUAUAUGAGUCUAUAUCAUCGAUCUUGUCACGAAAUGUUGUUAUAAUGUAAAAUUCUAUUAAUAUAUACCACCUUAACCAAAUGCAUAUAUGACAUAAGAAAAAGUGUCGAUAACCUCUAUAAUUAGAUGGAAAAAGGAUUUGACCUGCAGUAUUCAAUGUGUACUAAAGUUUAUGGUGGAGUGAUACACAUUCCAAUAUUUGUAAUUAGAGAUUUCGAUCGAGUUUGUUUUAGAUAUUAAUUUAUUAAUAAUAAUGAUCGCAAUGAAAUGGUAAUUAAGUAUUUUUUUAUUCUUAAUUAGAAGUCAUAGGUUCACCUCUUCGAUAUGUAAUGGCAUUUGUCAGGUAAUGCUUAAGUACCCCUGAAUGAGGGAUAUUUUAAUAAGAAUUCAGAUUUAGUGAUGAAAAUAAAUAUGACAAGUAAAAUGAAGAGUAUAAAAGCCAUUAUCCAGCUCUAUUUAUUUCUAAUAGAGUCAUUUUCAAAUUUCGAGAUCCUUACCAUAUGCAUGAUAUUGGCGUAAACCAACAUAAAUGUUAAUGAUGAGCCUCACAUCGGUGUAAAAUGAAGAAAUCAAUAAAGAAAAAAAUUGUCUCAAGACACCCUAAGGUUCUUCCUUCCAAGUUACAACGCCUAAAAAUAAUAGGAAAAUUAAUUUGAAAUCCCAAGUCAGUGAAUAUUUUAAAAACAAACAACUUUUAUUAUUGCUCAAAAAACACUUGCAACAUUACAAAAUACCACGCAAAUAUGAAAUGAUUUAUAACCACGCAACAUUAGAAAUUUUCUCAUUUACUCUUAAUGAAAUGAUUUAUAACCACGCAAAUAUCUAAGAAUUGUUUUAGAAUUGAAGUUUCAAAAGUCUUCCAUUUUUCUAAACAAAAAUUCAGUAAGACAAGCUCCGAUCCGAAGUGAGCCUAACCAUUUUAACCAAAAAUAAAAUAAAAUAAAAUAAUUGAGAAUGUUACGAAAAUCAAACAUAAGAGAGAGUAUAGCUUAUACUUAAUUUUCUUAUGUACACUUCAAUAAAUUAUUAUUCAUAAUAGAACACACUUUAGUUACUUAAAACUAAAGAACACGAAAUACCCAAAAAAAAUUGAAUAUACGGGAAUUUGUUGCAACCACACAUUUUAUUAGUUUAUAUAUACAAGUUUAAUUUGUAUAUGACUUUUGAAUGCAUGAAAAGAUACUUGAAAUGAGUGUUUUAUUAAAGAGUUUGAAAAUUGAAGAAGUAAUUUGAAAAAAAUAAUUUGAAGUCUUGAUUACUUCUUUCGAUUCUUGGACGAAAAAACUGAAAUCGACACAGAAUGAUCUAGGUAAGGAUUCUGGUGAUACUCAAAAGAGGAUUUUAAGCACUUAAAAAU